GACUAUAAAUUCAUUUUUUCUGAGUAUUUUCAGAUAAAGUUUUUGCUCUUUCCUUCUCAAGAGAUUGAUGGAUGUCGAAACUUGAUGGUAUUUGAGGGAAUAUAUCUGCUUGUGGUUGUGAUAGGUAGCCAGUAGCUUAAAAGCAAAAGUAAUUGGCUACUCAAUGGGUUAAUUUUGUGUUAUUGCAGGUAUCAUUGUUAUUCUGUUUUCACCUAAGUGUUUUACCUGUUGAAAUAUCUUUAACAAUUAAAUAUUUAACUAUAAAUGGAUAUGAAUAAUGUAUAUUCAUUACUGAUCUAGUUGGACCUUGAUUUUGAAUUUUUAGCAUUCCAAUUUUUUGUGUUUACAAUAAUCCCUUUAAAAGUAUAAAGUAAAACUUCUAGGUAAUUCUCUAUUGCUAUAUUCAGAUUCUAAGGCCAAUCAUGAAUUAGAUGCAAGGACAUCUUCCAUUUGCUGCUUUGGGAGCAUGGCGUUUUUCAGUUAUCUGGCAUGUUAUGGGUGCACUAGGUUUUUGGUUAUGUGCUUGUCUAUGUGUCUGUUUCUCCUUCAAGCGGUGAUUGAUUUUUGAAGGAUGAAACCUUUUAAUGUCAGCAGGAGUCAACCUGCAUGGGAGGAAGUACUUUCUUGUAGAACUUUAAGGAGGCAAUGUUGGAGGCCAUUGGUGCACAGCAGAUUGGAUACUUCAUAUUGUUAUUUGCUACGAGAUAUUAGAGUAAGUGCUUGCCACCAUACAAGGAAAAAAAAAUAUUCCUAUUCUAUGUUAUUCUUUGGGUGUCAUGCCUGUGCAUAUGGUCUAGUCAUUUGGGGUGGGUCUAUUUUUAACAGAGUUCUGUAAUUGAUUGGCAUGUACGUGCAAGUAUCUACUUAAAUGAAUACUUGUUGCUUAUGGUAAAGUGUCACGGCAUGUGCUUGUUGAUGGAGGCUCACUGUAAAAUCAUGAUUUGUGCACAGUAGCUUAGUGCUGAUGUAGAGUCUAGACAGUGUUGAUCUAAUUUACUUAGCUGGCUAGUGUCUGCUUAAUUUCUUUAGUGGUUGGCGCUUUCUUGUUUCUUUGCCUCUUUUGCUAAAAUAGAGCACUUCCUUACACUUAUAAAUGUGGAUCACAUGCAUAUUCUCAGAUAUGACCACCAAAGUUCCAGGACAUGCUGAUGGUUCGUGUAGAUUUUAUACAGACACAAACUCACCCUAGCAAUGACAAUAUACUCCUAUCCUCUGUUAUUGUUCUUUUGAGAAUGUCGGGGAUGAUGGAAGGUUUAGUAGAUAGCUUCAAUGAAGAUUGUCCUGUUACUCUAUUAUCACUUUAUCUUUUCUGAUGUUUAUACUAACUAGACGUGCUGUAUUCUAGUGGUCGAUACUGGUGGUAGUGGUACCAAUCUUGUGUUGCUCUACAUCAGUACUUUAUUUCCUAGCUGAAUGAUCUGAUAAUGGGAAAAAUUCAUGCACUUAGAAAAUUGUUGGUACUACUUCUAUGUGUAGCUGGUUUUGGUAUUAUCCUCAUGCGGAAAACUGAUUUGAGACCCAGCAAAUUCUCAUAUUUCAACAUACUAUACUGUUUUGUCAUAUAGUCUCAGGAGCGUUUGAAGAAUUUUAUAUUUCUAUAAACUGAAACCUUCAUUUUAUUUUCAGCUUCUUUUGCACAUCCUCACUUCACUGCAGAAAGGAGGAGGGUUUUUGCAGGGGAACCCUCGCUGAAUGAAUCAUCUUGUGUGAAGCAGAUAAAUUUCCAGAAUGGAUCUGGAGUGUGAAAGGCCAGGUAGGAGGACAGAAACCACUAUUAUAUUACAGAUCCUCGUAAUGAUGUUGGUCGCCCGUCUUCAUGCUGCAGCAGCUGAAUUCUUAUUUCUCGAGCUAUGAUUUGGAUGCUUUUAAUAGAGCUGGCUUCUUAUUAUAACUCCGUAUUAAUUAGUCGUAUGUCAACCUUUGGUAAUUUAAUUUUGAUUUUUGGAGAAGGCAAUAACUUUUCCAGAUCAAUCAGAUGGUGAAGUAACAAGAGGGAUUAUGAGAAGCGAUAUGCUACGGAGAGUCUUGGUGCUGAAGGAGUGUGGUGAAAUGGUUGUUCAACCAGAGGUUUAUCGUCCCAUGCAUUCUCGGAGACCCGGUGUGCUUGCGUAUGAUGCUAUUAUUGGUCAGAGAUUGCUGAAAGCUAUGUUUGAUGGCAUGGAUCAGCUGAGCCAGUUAUUGGGUUCCCAGGUCUAGUGGGAUGGGCCAUUGUUUUUAUAGGAGUCUGCUACAUGUGGCUUGUAAUUCUCCUUUCAUCAGCACAUUAAGCAUACCAAGGACCACGAGACACACUCUUAGGACAUGGACGAAGAAUUUCGUUUCAGUGUGAUUGGGCGUGACACCUCGUGGGUCAUGUUAAUCACGCCAGAGUUACAGUGGCAUCUUUUGCAGGAUUCUGUAUGGCAGCUCUUUGGUCUCUAAUAUUUUUCCUGGGUAAUGAUAUAAACGUGCAAGGCUAUCUUCCUGGUUCGUCCAAGUAAUCAUGAACUAGCUGUCUACUUUCUCUAAUGCAAAACCUGUACAAUUUAGUUACA